GACGAACGCUGGCGGCGUGCCUAACACAUGCAAGUCGAACGCAGUGGGGACGGUUGCGUAACACGUGGGUAACCUCCCAUCAGAGGGGAUAACACUUGGAAACAGGUGCUAAACCGAUACUGAUGGAUGGACCCGCUGUGCAUUAGCUAGUUGGUGGGGUAACGGCUCACCAAGGCAACGAUGCAUAGCGGACCGGAGAGGGUGAGCGGCCAAACGGGGAGUGAGACAGGGCCCAAACUCCUACGGGAGGCAGCAGUGGGAAAGCUACGGCAAUGGGCGAAAGUCUGACCGAGCAACGCCGCGUGAGUGAAGAAGGUUUUCGGAUCGUAAAACUCUUUUAUUGGGGAAGCGGUAUCUAAACAGAAAGCCACGGCUAACUACGUGCCAGCAGCCGCGGUAAUAC
rnacentral:rRNA from 1 species